rnacentral:rRNA from 1 species
UACGUAGGGGGCUAGCGUUGUCCGGAAUCAUUGGGCGUAAAGCGCGUGUAGGCGGUUCGGUAAGUCCGCUGUGAAAGUCGGGGGCUCAACCCUCGAAUGCCGGUGGAUACUGUCGGACUAGAGUACGGAAGAGGCGAGUGGAUUCCUGGUGUAGCGGUGAAAUGCGCAGAUAUCAGGAGGAACACCAAUGGCGAAGGCAGCACUCUGGGACGGUACUGACGCUGAGACGCGAAAGCGUGGGGAGCAAACAGG